rnacentral:lncRNA from 1 species
AAAGUUUGGCUUUCGUUAACUAAAUCCAGGUGGGGACCAAUGAAAUGAAUGGUAGCGCGUAGUGCUCAAAGGAGAGUUGUUCGCUCCAGUAAUGAAUUUGGGGACUUUGGAUUUUCAGAGAACAGCAACAAGAUUUCUUGUCCUUCUCGGCAUUGAAUGACAUGGAAAACCUGAAAGAAACAGUCCAGUUCACGCUCUGCAUUUGCAAUGUGAAUUGCACCUUCUGGCGGAUUGCGAUAGCAAAUGGAGAUCAGAGAAGCAAAGCAGAAGGGAAGGAAGUGGAGGCCACGAGCACAGUAGUGCUACAGGAGAUAGAAAAGUGACCUACAAAUGUAGGUAUCCUGUUUUUGAUGGGAGCAGCUGACGCACAGAGCAGUGAAAUGCCUUGCCUGAAGUUGCUCUGCAAAUUGGUCACGGAGCCUGGAAUAACAUCCGUACUGCUCUGAGUGUUGCAGUAACGAUUCCUUAGGCUGGUAGGCAGCUCGGUGUGUCUGGACAGCAGCACGGCUGUCGUCGAAGAGCCACUCGCAGUUGUUGGCACACCACUUUGUGAGCAGAAGGAGAACGCUGGAGGAGCAAAACAACAGGAUCUUCUGGAUGGUCAGCGUUAUCUUAUGCAGCCUGGUGCCCUCUGUCUUCCAGAAUUUCUCCCCAAGGAGAGUGCCGGUGCCCGCUGCCUGCAGAGGCUUGGCAGCGCUGCCUUCCCGAAGGGAUGCCUUUCCUUUGGGGAUGUAACCUUG